rnacentral:rRNA from 1 species
UGAAUACGAGACGCUAAGGCGUCGAAGUAGUGUAUGUCAUACUUCCAAGAAAAGCUUGCACUGUCAUAAGUAAAAAAUGCCUGUACCAUAACCGACACAGGUGGGUAGGUAGAGUAUACUAAGGGGCGCGAGAUAACUCUCUCUAAGGAACUCGGCAAAAUAACUCCGUAACUUCGGGAGAAGGAGUACCUUAUUCUAUAAGGUUGCAAUAACAAGAUCCAAGCAACUGUUUAUCAAAAACACAGGUCUCCGCUAAGUCGUAAGACGAUGUAUGGGGGCUGACGCCUGCCCAGUGCCAGAAGGUUAAAGAAGUCGGUUAGCAUUAGCGAAGCUGGUAACUGAAGCCCUGGUGAACGGCGGCCGUAACAAUAACGGUCCUAAGGUAGCGAAAUUCCUUGUCGGGUAAGUUCCGACCCGCACGAAAGGCGUAAUGAUUUGGAUACUGUCUGGGAGAGGGGCUCGGUGAAAUAGACUUGUCUGUGAAGAUGCGGACUACCUGCACCAGGACAGAAAGACCCUAUGAAGCUUUACUGUAACUUGAAAUUGAAAUUGGACUUUAUUCGCGCAGUAUAGGUGGGAGGUGUUGAUUAUAAUCUUGCGGGAUUAUUGGAGCCAUCAGUGAGAUACCACUCUUGUAAUGUUAGAUUUCUAACUUUGAAUCAUUAUCUGGUCAAAGGACAGUUUCAGGCGGGCAGUUUGACUGGGGCGGUCGCCUCCCAAACGGUAACGGAGGCGUACAAAGGUUUCCUCUGAACGGGUAGAAAUCGUAUCUAGAGUGUAAAGGCAUAAGGAAGCUUGACUGUGAGACCUACAAGUCGAACAGGGACGAAAGUCGGUCUUAGUGAUCUGACGGUACUGAGUGGAAAGGCCGUCACUCAACGGAUAAAAGUUACUCUAGGAUAACAGGCUGACCUCCCCCAAGAGUUCACAUCGACGGGGAGGUUUGGCACCUCGAUGUCGGCUCGUCGCAUCCUGGGGCGGUAGUACGUCCCAGGGGUUGGGCUGUUCGCCCAUGAAAGCGGUACGCGAGCUGGGUUCAGAACGUCGUGAGACAGUUCGGUCCAUAUCCGGUGUAGGCGUUAGAAUAUUGAGAGGAGCCUUCUUUAGUACGAGAGGACCGAGAAGGACAUACCUCUGGUGUACCAGUUAUCGUGCCAACGGUAAACGCUGGGUAGCUAUGUAUGGAGUGGAUAACCGCUGAAAGCAUCUAAGUGGGAAGCCCACCUCAAGAUAAG